rnacentral:rRNA from 1 species
GAUGAACGCUGGCGGCGUGCCUAAUACAUGCAAGUCGAGCGAACAGAUGAGGAGCUUGCUCCUCUGACGUUAGCGGCGGACGGGUGAGUAACACGUGGAUAACCUACCUAUAAGACUUGGAUAACUUCGGGAAACCGGAGCUAAUACCGGAUAAUAUAUUGAACCGCAUGGUUCAAUAGUGAAAGACGGUUUUGCUGUCACUUAUAGCUGGAUCCGCGCCGCAUUAGCUAGUUGGUAAGGUAACGGCUUACCAAGGCAACGAUGCGUAGCCGACCUGAGAGGGUGAUCGGCCACACUGGAACUGAGACACGGUCCAGACUCCUACGGGAGGCAGCAGUAGGGAAUCUUCCGCAAAGGGCGAAAGCCUGACGGAGCAACGCCGCGUGAGUGAUGAAGGUCUUCGGAUCGUAAAACUCUGUUAUUAGGGAAGAACAAAUGUGUAAGUAACUAUGCACGUCUUGACGGUACCUAAUCAGAAAGCCACGGCUAACUACGUG